rnacentral:misc_RNA from 1 species
GAUGAAGAACGUAGCGAAAUGCGAUAAGUAGUGUGAAUUGCAGAAUUCCGUGAGUCAUCGAAUCUUUGAACGCACAUUGCGCCCUCUGGUAUUCCGGAGGGCAUGCCUGUCUGAGCGUCAUUGUCAACCCUCAAGCUCAGCUUGCUGUUGGGUCCCCGUCGUUGCUUUAACGGCGGACCCGAAAGGUAAUGGCAGAGUCCGUGAGACCCUAGACGCAGCGAGCUUCUAGCACGCGUCUGGACGUUUUUCGGGCUCGGUCUUAACUAGAUGAUAACUUCCGAUUGACCUCAGAUCAGGUAGGGAUACCCGCUGAACUUAAGCAUAUCAAUAAGCGGAGGA